CCUACGGGAGGCAGCAGUAGGGAAUCUUCCACAAUGGGCGAAAGCCUGAUGGAGCAACGCCGCGUGGAUGAAGAAGGUCUUCGGAUCGUAAAACCCUGUUGUUAGAGAAGAAAGUGCGUGAGAGUAACUGCUCACGUUUCGACGGUAUCUAACCAGAAAGCCACGGCUAACUACGUGCCAGCAGCCGCGGUAAUACGUAGGUGGCAAGCGUUAUCCGGAUUUAUGGGGUUGAAAGGGUGCGUAGGCGGACUGUUAAGUCAGCGGGAAAAGCCCGGGGCUCAACCCCGGCGAGCCGUUGAAACUGGCUGUCUUGAGAUGUCGUGAGGUAUGCGGAAUGCGCAGUGUAGCGGUGAAAUGCUUAGAUAUUGCGCAGAACUCCGAUUGCGAAGGCAGCAUACCGGCGGCGAUCUGACGCUGAGGCACGAAAGCGUGGGUAUCGAACAGGAUUAGAUACCCCUGUAGUC
rnacentral:rRNA from 1 species